rnacentral:tRNA from 1 species
AUUCAGAUAGCUUAUAUAAGAGUAUAAUAUUGAAGAUAUUAUGGUGAUUAAUUAAUCUUUGAAUA